UCUGAGACCAUUGAAGAAAAUAAGGAAAUUGAAUUGAUCUCUGACUUACCCACAAUGGAAUGAUCUUGAUGUUGUUACUAUAAGUGAUUCAGAGUCGGAGUCUUCAAGUGAAGAUGAGAUCCUUCCAAGAGAAAGUCAAAAUAGUUCUGAUGAGAAUCUCAUCAUAACAUUAACACAAUUAGAAACACUCAUUAACCGACAUGUAAUCACUCGGAUGAAUAUACAUAGGCCGUCAAUUUGGGAUACAACAGUGAGGAAAUUGACGAGUGGAACAUUCAAGCCAGAAAAUGACUUACUCAUCAAAUUUUCUGAUGAAUUUGGAACGUCUGAGGAAGGAAUUGACCAAUGAGGCCC